AGAGUUUGAUCAUGGCUCAGAACGAACGCUGGCGGCAGGCUUAACACAUGCAAGUCGAAGGAGAAGCCAUUUCGGUGGUGGAGACUGGCGGACGGGUGCGUAACACGUGGGAAUUUGCCCUUUAGUCUGGGAUAACAGUUGGAAACGACUGCUAAUACCGGAUACGCCCUACGGGGGAAAGAUUUAUUGCUAAAGGAUAAGCCCGCGGCUGAUUAGGUAGUUGGUGAGGUAAGAGCUCACCAAGCUGAUGAUCAGUAGCUGGUCUGAGAGGAUGAUCAGCCACACUGGAACUUAGACACGGUCCAGACUCCUACGGGAGGCAGCAGUGGGGAAUAUUGGACAAUGGGCGAAAGCCUGAUCCAGCGACGUCACGUGAAUGAUGAAGGCCUUAGGGUUGUAAAAUUCUUUUAGUGGAGAAGAUAAUGACAGUAUCCACAGAAAAAGUCCCGGCUAACUUCGUGCCAGCAGCCGCGGUAAU
rnacentral:rRNA from 1 species